CAGCCAAUCAAAUGUUCGCUUUAGCAGCUACGUCACACCAAAGGUCGUGUUUUCUCCCUGCUCCGCCCACUGGGUUCCUGCCUUCCGCGCCGGGCUCGAGUUAUCAGAUGGUUAUUUCCGUUGGUGUAGUCACGCCCUGGGGGAGGAGAGCCGGAGAGAAGUUUUAUUACAUGAUUCUUACCUUGAUUUAGUCGCCUGACAUCUUCCGCUGGUUGGAUUCGAACUCUGGUCCUUGGCGUUGUUGGUCCUGUGCUGUACACGGUGCGCCACUUUUGAAUUUGAGCUGCCCUUCAUGUUACGAUGGAAUGCAGGAUCUCAUCUCGCUGCUGCUGCUGCUGAAUGAUGGAAGGGAUGUUAAACCGGAUUAAGGUGCUCGCCGGCUGACAGCGCACAACAGUCCCUGAGGUCUUCUGCUAAAAUGCCCACCGGAGCGAAACGAACCCCGGUGAAUCUCCCCAUUGUGGAUGCGAUUCAUGUGCCUGAGUGAUGAAUGUCUCCCGAAAUGCCCCAUUUCUAGUGGGAAUCCCUCUGUCACCUUGUGUUUUUCUAAGAGUUUAGAUGCCUGAAAUAUCUCAAAGAUGAUGCCUUUAUAAUUCUAUGUAAAUAAAAAAUGUACUUUCUCAUCAAAGUGAAA